rnacentral:lncRNA from 1 species
CAAGAUGCUUAUAUAUAUGGUGUGAUUUUUAUAGGAUGCCUCUGUCACUAAUAAGUUGUGUGACAUUGUGCCAAUCAUUCAACGUCUGUGAACCAAGAGGAGCCAUGACUUUCUCAUCUACAAAGCAUAAACAACUAUACAACUGGAAAAAAAUGAAAGAGCGAUUUCAAAUGUUUGACAACAGCACAGGACAGUGA